GUCCUCCAUCUGUUGCGGGCAGAUAAAGUGGAUAUGGCUGUCGAACCCGCCUGCGGUCAGAAUGCGGCCCUCGCCCGCGAUGGCCUCGGUGCCGGGGCCGAUGAUGAUGUCGACGCCCGGCUGGGUGUCGGGGUUGCCCGCCUUGCCGAUCUUGUGGAUGCGCCCCUCGCGCAGGCCCACGUCGGCCUUGUAGAUGCCGGUAUGGUCCACGAUCAGCGCGUUGGUGAUGACCGUAUCAACCGCCCCUUCGGCGCGUGUCACCUGUGACUGUCCCAUGCCGUCGCGGAU
rfam:Sulfitobacter sp. H3 contig3, whole genome shotgun sequence.